AAGUUAUAGUCCCCCGGCCUCCGGGCUGGGGUCUUCUAUACCACCCUCUGUUUACCACACCUUUGUUGCUUUGGCAGGCCUGCCCCCGGGCUGCCGGCUCCGGCCGGCCCGCGCCUGCCAGAGGACCCAAACUCUGUCUGUAUGUGAAGUCUGAGUACUAUAUAAUAGUUA
rnacentral:misc_RNA from 1 species